UCUCCGUUGGUGAACCAGCGGAGGGAUCAUUACCGAGUUUCUACUCCAAACCCUGCGAAUCUUACCCCCAUCGCUUCGGCGGCCAGCCCCGGGGGGCGCUAUCCGGCCGCCGACAGCACCAAAUUCUUACUCUAUGAGUCUUCUGAGUGGCGAGAAAACAAGUCAAAACCUUCAACAACGGAUCUCUUGGUUCUG
rnacentral:misc_RNA from 1 species